UCCACUGCCAAGAGUUCUGUUACCCACAGCAUCAGCUCAAAUACCUGAGUCCCAUAUAAAAGAACCCCACUCUGGACAGCUUGAGCUGGGGAAGUUCAGUCACAUUUCCAGUACAUACCUCAAGACAUCAAAAAUUAGUGAAGUGACCCCUGGUGCCUCCAGGAGAAAUAGCUUCAUUUGUUUCAAAAACAUCUGGGAAUUAAGAAAAAUGUAAAUUCCAGUAAGGUCUCUUGAUAUGGAGACAAGUGUUCAAAAUGAAAUUUGAACACCUUUUCUACUCUUGCUUGUUGUCCGCACUCUACUGUCACUAUAGCACAGAAAAAGAAAGGCAGAAGCUUCAUCAUGAAGAGAAUCCACGACAGGAUAGAUGAGAACAGAACCUGGCUGCCUGUAAAGCAACUGGACCACCUGACCCCAAAAUGAAUUACAUUUAUUUCAAGUUACACGUAUGUGUA
rnacentral:lncRNA from 1 species